rnacentral:lncRNA from 1 species
CAGGAUUUAAGCAUAUUAAUAAGCGGAAGAAAAGAAAACAACCGUGAUUCCCUUAGUAGCGGUGAGCGAACCGGGAAAAGCCCAUCGCCGAAUCUCGCCGCGCACUUUUGUGUCGCGGUACGUAUGAGAGUUGUGGCGUACGGGCCGGCCUCGUUGCCGGGGCGCACGUGACGGUCCAAGUCUCCCUUGAACGGGGCCAUGGCCCGCAGAUGGUGCCAGGUCAAGAUCGGAAGACCG